UACGUAGGUGGCAAGCGUUGUCCGGAAUUAUUGGGCGUAAAGUGCGCGCAGGCGGCUUUCUAAGUCCAUCUUAAAAGUGCGGGGCUUAACCCCGUGAUGGGAUGGAAACUGGGAAGCUGGAGUAUCGGAGAGGAAAGUGGAAUUCCUAGUGUAGCGGUGAAAUGCGUAGAGAUUAGGAAGAACACCGGUGGCGAAGGCGACUUUCUGGACGACAACUGACGCUGAGGCGCGAAAGCGUGGGGAGCAAACAGG
rnacentral:rRNA from 1 species